rnacentral:rRNA from 1 species
AGAACGAACGCUGGCGGCAUGCCUAACACAUGCAAGUCGAACGAACCCUUCGGGGUUAGUGGCGCACGGGUGCGUAACGCGUGGGAAUCUGCCCUUGGCUUCGGAAUAACAGUUAGAAAUGACUGCUAAUACCGGAUGAUGUCUUCGGACCAAAGAUUUAUCGGCCAGGGAUGAGCCCGCGUAGGAUUAGGUAGUUGGUGGGGUAAAGGCCUACCAAGCCGACGAUCCUUAGCUGGUCUGAGAGGAUGAUCAGCCACACUGGGACUGAGACACGGCCCAGACUCCUACGGGAGGCAGCAGUGGGGAAUAUUGGACAAUGGGCGCAAGCCUGAUCCAGCAAUGCCGCGUGAGUGAUGAAGGCCUUAGGCGUAAAGCUCUUUUACCAGGGAUGAUAAUGACAGUACCUGGAGAAUAAGCUCCGGCUAACUCCGCGCCAGCAGCCGC